AGCAACCCCACAGGGACAGCAAUUUUUUCUGUCCAACAGAUUACACCCAUUCUACCAAAAGGGAUCAGGGAUCAGGGAAUCAAUUUGGAAAGUUCUGUCCAUCUGCCUUUUGUCCUACAACUGAGGAACUGAGGAUAGUUAGAGGCACACUCCGUUAGAGUGGAGUUUGUUUCUAUCAUGCUAAAGGAAUUCCAGGCUCAUGGGAAACGUACUCUUACC